CCUACGGGAGGCAGCAGUGAGGAAUAUUGGUCAAUGGCCGUAAGGCUGAACCAGCCAAGUAGCGUGAGGGAAGACUGCCCUAUGGGUUGUAAACCUCUUUUAUGCGGGGAUAAAGGUGUCCACGUGUGGAUGUUUGCAGGUACCGCAUGAAUAAGGACCGGCUAAUUCCGUGCCAGCAGCCGCGGUAAUACGGAAGGUCCGGGCGUUAUCCGGAUUUAUUGGGUUUAAAGGGAGCGUAGGCCGGCCUUUAAGCGUGCCGUGAAAUUUUGUGGCUCAACCAUGGGAGUGCGGCGCGAACUGGAGGCCUUGAGUGCGCGGAAGGCAGGCGGAAUUCGUGGUGUAGCGGUGAAAUGCUUAGAUAUCACGAAGAACCCCGAUUGCGAAGGCAGCCUGCCGCGGCGUUACUGACGCUGAGGCUCGAAGGCGCGGGUAUCGAACAGGAUUAGAUACCCGAGUAGUC
rnacentral:rRNA from 1 species